AGUGAACGCUGGCGGCAGGCCUAACACAUGCAAGUCGAACGGCAGCACAGUAAGAGUUUGCUCUUACGGGUGGCGAGUGGCGGAUGGGUGAGGAAUACAUCGGAAUCUUCUAUUUCGUGGGGGAUAACGGGGGAACACAUCCGAUAAUACCGCAUACGUCCUACCGGAGGAAGCAGAAGAUCUUCGGACCUUGGGCGAGUGAAUGAGACGUUGUCGGAUUAGCUAGUCGGCGGGGUAAAGGCCCACCAAGGCGACGAUACGUAGCUGGUCUGAGAGGAUGGUCGGCCACACUGGAACUGAGACACGGUCCAGACUCCUACGGGAGGCAGCAGUGGGGAAUAUUGGGCAAUGGGCGCAAGCCUGAUCCAGCAAUGCCGCGUGGGUGAUGAAGGCCUUCGGGUUGUAAAGCCCUUUUGUUGGGAAAGAAAAGCAGCAGAUUAAUACGCCGCUAUUCUGACGGUACCCAAAGAAUAAGCACCGGCUAACUUCGUG
rnacentral:rRNA from 1 species